UACGUAGGGGGCAAGCGUUGUCCGGAAUUAUUGGGCGUAAAGCGCGUGUAGGCGGUCCACUAAGUCGGCUGUGAAAGCCCCGGGCUUAACCUGGGAAUGGCAUUUGGGACUGCAAGGCUUGAGUGCGGCAGAGGAGACUGGAAUUCCCGGUGUAGCAGUGAAAUGCGUAGAUAUCGGGAGGAAUACCGAUGGCGAAGGCAGGUCUCUGGGCUGACACUGACGCUCAUGCACGAAAGCGUGGGGAGCAAACAGG
rnacentral:rRNA from 1 species